UCCCUGUUACCAGGGCAGUCUAGUUAGAAAAAUACAACUAACUAUAAGGGUUGCGCUCGUUGAAGGACUUAACCUAACAUCUCACGACACGAGCUGAAGACGGCCAUGCAUCACCUGUCACUUGGUUCCCGAAGGCACACUCUGCUUUCGCAGAACUUCCAAGGAUGUCAAACCUGGGUAAGGUUCUUCGCUUACCAUCGAAUUAAACAACACGCUCCACCGCUUGUGCGGGUCCCCGUCAAUUCCUUUAUGUUUUAGUCUUGCGACCGUACUCCACAGGCGGGAUGCUUAACGCGUUAGCUUCGCUACGACGCGGGUCGAUACGCAUCACAGCUAGCAUCCAUAGUUUACGGCGUGGACUAC
rnacentral:misc_RNA from 1 species